rnacentral:rRNA from 1 species
UACGUAGGUGACAAGCGUUGUCCGGAUUUACUGGGUGUAAAGGGCGCGUAGGCGGGAUAGCAAGUCAGUCGUGAAAUGCCGAGGCUUAACCUCGGAGCUGCGAUUGAAACUGUUAUUCUUGAGUAUCGGAGAGGAAAGCGGAAUUCCUAGUGUAGCGGUGAAAUGCGUAGAUAUUAGGAGGAACACCAGUGGCGAAGGCGGCUUUCUGGACGACAACUGACGCAGAGGCGCGAAAGUGUGGGGAGCAAACAGG